rnacentral:miRNA from 15 species
AACAAAACACUCAAAUGUUUAGGGGGUCAAACUGUACGUUGUAUGUGUAAACAAUGAAAUCCAUAAGCGUAUAGCUUUUCCCCUUAAAAGUUGAAGUGGAAUCA